rnacentral:rRNA from 1 species
AGUGAACGCUGGCGGUAGGCCUAACACAUGCAAGUCGAACGGCAGCACAGUAAGAGCUUGCUCUUACGGGUGGCGAGUGGCGGACGAGUGAGGAAUACAUCGGAGUCUACUUUUUCGUGGGGGAUAACGUAGGGAAACUUACGCUAAUACCGCAUACGACCUACGGGUGAAAGCAGGGGAUCUUCGGACCUUGCGCGAUUGAAUGAGCCGAUGUCGGAUUAGCUAGUUGGCGGGGUAAAGGCCCACCAAGGCGACGAUCCGUAGCUGGUCUGAGAGGAUGAUCAGCCACACUGGAACUGAGACACGGUCCAGACUCCUACGGGAGGCAGCAGUGGGGAAUAUUGGACAAUGGGCGAAAGCCUGAUCCAGCCAUACCGCGUGGGUGAAGAAGGCCUUCGGGUUGUAAAGCCCUUUUGUUGGGAAAGAAAAGCAGCAGGUUAAUACCCCGCUGUUCUGACGGUACCCAAAGAAUAAGCACCGGCUAACUUCGUG